GUCCAGGUAGCCUAGUGGAUAUGGCAUCUGCCCGGUAAGUGGAAAACUGUGGGUUUGAUUCCCAUCCCAGGACA
rnacentral:tRNA from 1 species